UCUACUGUACCCCUCACAUGGCCUCCGAGUAUAGACCCUCAUCCAGGGUUAAAAAAAAAUUGGGAUAAGUAUUGGCCGAGGUCGAUUCCAAUUAUAGCAGAUCCGGCUCGGGCGACCCAUUCCAAAAACUAGGGUUAGGGUUUAUUUGGGCCGAUUCCGAUAUUGAUUAUGGGUUUUAAAAUCCUGCCCUCAGUUUGGGCCCAGGAGAGUGUGUGCGAUCGGUCGUCACCUGAGUAGAUCGCUGGGAUUGUGUUUCUUCGGCGACAUUUUUAUUUUUCAAUGUUCUUUCUCUCUCUCUCUCUCUCUCUCUCUCUUUCUCUCUCUCUCUCUCUUACCGUGUUUCUGCAAUUGGCUUACAAACAGGGAAUACAGAAGCCAGGUGGGGAUUAGGACCAGAGUGCUGGAAAUAGUGAAGAAUAAUGAGUCCACGACUCGGGAGGACUGGUGUGGAAGACGAGUAAGCUUAACUCCACCAGAAAUGCUGACGCCAAGAAAUGGCUUAUCAAGGAACUGUUAAAAUAUGAGCUUCUGCAAGAGGGUAACUUCUAGUCGUAGACAAGGAAAUAUAGAAUGAGAAUCUGAGACUGCUGGAAGCGUGCGAUGGAUAAUUUCUAGCCUUUCUACUUCUUCUGUUAAUGAGCUCAUCAAUAUAGGCAUGAGAUGGAGCGGCAUCUAGAAUGAGCAGGAGCCCAAUUGCUGUUGACCAGUUAACAAUUCAAGCAACUCAUUUCUCACAAACGACAGUCAACGGGCAUAUCUAAAGCCACUGAGCUCGGGCUUGAUUGGCUGAUGGAUCCUGAUGAUUCUGGAUACGGUGGUUGGUGCUUGGGGAGGCUUAGAGUAUCCAUCAUCUGUGACCAUUGAAGACCCUCCCCAUGCCAUAUUUCAUUAGAAAGGCAGGCAUGAAAGCAUAGAAUCAAAUGGAGUUCAGAAGAUCCUCUGCAAAGCCCUUCUUAGAUUAUAAAAAUAAAACGAGGGGAAAACGUUGGUAGACUGUGGAGAGCCCCAGAUAUUAACCAAUUUUAAUAUAGCUCUUCAUUGGAACUGGCAAUUGCUCCACCACUCUUGCAGACAUCGGCCUCAGGGAUGAUUGAAGCGGGCAAUGGAAAAGAAAACACCUUGCGCUUCAAAUACUGAAGGACGAGCUCUUCGUCCGUAGGAUGGAAUCUGAAGCCUGGAGGUAGUUUUACUAUUCCUUU